rnacentral:rRNA from 1 species
GGAUUGUAAACUUCUUUUAUAUGGGAAUAAAGUGCACCACGUGUGGUGUUUUGUAUGUACCAUAUGAAUAAGGAUCGGCUAACUCCGUGCCAGCAGCCGCGGUAAUACGGAGGAUCCGAGCGUUAUCCGGAUUUAUUGGGUUUAAAGGGAGCGUAGGCGGAUUGUUAAGUCAGUUGUGAAAGUUUGCGGCUCAACCGUAAAAUUGCAGUUGAUACUGGCAGUCUUGAGUGCAGUAGAGGUAAGCGGAAUUCGUGGUGUAGCGGUGAAAUGCUUAGAUAUCACGAAGAACUCCAAUUGCGAAGGCAGCUUGCUGGACUGUAACUGACGCUGAUGCUCGAAAGUGUGGGUAUCAAACAGGAUUAGAUACCCUGGUAGUCCACACAGUAAA